rnacentral:rRNA from 1 species
CGGACGGGUGAGUAACGCGUAAAGAACUUGCCCUUUAGACUGGGAUAACAGAGGGAAACUUCUGAUAAUACUGGAUAAGUUAGUAUAUCGCAUGAUAUGCAAAUGAAAGCUACGGCACUAAAGGAGAGCUUUGCGUCCUAUUAGCUGGUUGGUAAGGUAAGAGCUUACCAAGGCGAUGAUAGGUAGCCGGCCUGAGAGGGUGGACGGCCACAAGGGGACUGAGAUACGGCCCUUACUCCUACGGGAGGCAGCAGGU